AUAUUGGUAUUGCCCUUAUGUGCUGAGCGAUGGUGACUAUAAGGAUUCCCCUCCACUUUAGUGACAAAAGUAAUGCCAUCGCUUGCAUUUUACUUUCUUAUUAUCUUUUAAUCAUGUAUCCUUUAGAAUUUUUCCAUUAUCCGUUGAUCUUGCAUCCCUUUCUUCAGACUUUCUUCUUGGUCUCCUCUUUCUUUCUCACUAUCUCUAUUCGCCUCACG
rnacentral:lncRNA from 1 species